rnacentral:rRNA from 1 species
GGGCCCGCACAAGCGGCGGAGCAUGCGGAUUAAUUCGAUGCAACGCGAAGAACCUUACCUGGGUUUGACAUGGCCGCAAAACCGGCAGAGAUGUCGGGUCCUUCGGGGGCGGUCACAGGUGGUGCAUGGCUGUCGUCAGCUCGUGUCGUGAGAUGUUGGGUUAAGUCCCGCAACGAGCGCAACCCUUGUUCGAUGUUGCCAGCGGUUCGGCCGGGGACUCAUCGAAGACUGCCGGGGUCAACUCGGAGGAAGGUGGGGAUGAGGUCAAGUCAUCAUGCCCCUUAUGUCCAGGGCUUCACGCAUGCUACAAUGGCCGGUACAGAGGGCUGCGAUACCGUGAGGUGGAGCGAAUCCCAAAAAGCCGGUCUCAGUUCGGAUCGGGGUCUGCAACUCGACCCCGUGAAGUCGGAGUCGCUAGUAAUCGCAGAUCAGCAACGCUGCGGUGAAUACGUUCCCGGGCCUU